UACGUAGGGGGCAAGCGUUGUCCGGAUUUAUUGGGCGUAAAGGGCGCGUAGGCGGCUUUUCAAGUGACGGGUGAAAUCCCUCGGCUUAACCGAGGAACUGCCUGUCAGACUGGAAGGCUUGAGACCGGGAGAGGUGAGUGGAAUUCCCAGUGUAGCGGUGAAAUGCGUAGAUAUUGGGAGGAACACCAGUGGCGAAGGCGGCUCACUGGACCGGAACUGACGCUGAGACGCGAAAGCGUGGGGAGCGAACAGG
rnacentral:rRNA from 1 species